rnacentral:rRNA from 2 species
ACCUCAGGUCAGGCGGGGCUACCCGCUGAGUUUAAGCAUAUCAAUAAGCGGAGGA